GAAAGAAUAAUCCAUGACCUUCGGGACCUUUAAGUACCGAACACAGGACACACUUCCCUGUAUUGUGUGGUUGGAGGGACUCCUGACAUUGGCAAACGCCUCUGUCCAGAGGAGGCUGUUUUGUGUCCUCUGUGGAAAUUUCCUCUGGUCUUCACACUGCCUGUGGCUGGCUGGUUGGAUCACGUUUGCCUCUAGGUUCCAACAUACCCCAGACAGAGCUGUGAACCGAUGGAGCCGUUCUGCGUGUGAGUGCGAAGGGUCAGCGUUGAGCAAAGAGAAGAAAACGGCAUGCUUCCUGCAGGGCUCUUGUGCACCUUCGUUUGCAUCGUAACUUCGUGUUGUAGGUCAGACUCCAGGCGUGGGUUCGAGUACUCUGGUUCACGAUUUUGGCGCACUGACGGAAAGAAUCCUGACUUUCAUGCCAGUGUCCUCUCUGCUGUUGCAGAAAUUUGGUAAAACCUGGUAUGAGUGUUGGGAAGACGGGAAAGCUCAGCCGCGACGCUGACUGACGGACACUGGCUCCGCGCACAGAGGCUGCGGAACAGCGGAGCCUCCCUGCUCACUCCUACGACGACCCGGCUUCAUUUAAGCUUCUUUACAAACUGCAGGCAUCCAGGGCUCACUUUUCACUUUCUACUUACAUAACAUGUUUUCUUCAAGUUGCCUCUAAAUUAUUCACUCUCCUAAAUAGAG
rnacentral:lncRNA from 1 species